UGCCCACGCUGCACAGAGCUCUAC
rnacentral:piRNA from 1 species